rnacentral:misc_RNA from 1 species
CAGGUCUGCCUAAAUGUCACCGUCGCAUUUCGGGGGUACCAAAAAUGAAAGCAAAAUAAAAAAUAAAACCGUGGGAAGCGCUCUCCUCCCCACUCUGUUGAUCCACCAUUAAACCAUAUGGCUCCAAAGUACAGGCCAUACGUGAGGCUUUAAAUCGCUCAUCAUCGAAUCGAAUAAUCCUCGUCAUAUGCUUUCCCUUCCUUUCAAUACAACAGCGUUUCGUGGACAUCUGGCUCACUCUUUUUCCUUCAUUUAGCCAUUCAAGCGCGCGUGUCCUAGUCACUGCUGUAUCACUUUACUUUUUCCCCCACUUUCGUCCCUCUGCUUAUAUCUCUAAGCUCUCUCUCUCUUUUUGCUAUCUCACACACAGCUCUGGCACUGCGAUUUUGAUAAACAGGGACUGAGGAAAUGGUGGUGUUCAAGGUUUCGCGAGUGGGGACUAAGCCCAUCGAUGGCCAGAAACCGGGAACUUCUGGCCUUCGCAAGAAGGUUUUCUUAUCCUUUUAAUCCAAUUCUCGAUUUAUUAUCCUUGGGAUUCCACUUCAUCGAAUUUAGUUUAUCUUCAGCUCUCUUAUCCUCUUUUUUCUUAGUAAUUUGGAAUCAGAUCCGUUUUGUUCGAUCAUUUUAUUGCUUAGUUGAUGGCGUUGGAGCCAAUGCUUUUAGAUCAGCAUGCAUGAAUCUGAUCUGUGCUUGAAAAUCCAUUAUGAUCCUGUAUUAAUCGAUUAUUAUUUAUUUGUAAUUGAAUCUUAUGAUUCCCAUAUUGAUUUGCUUUUCUGUGGCAUUGCAUCUUCUAAAUUUUAUUGGUUGGUUGCUUAAACAAGAUUUUGUUGUAUCAUUUUCAUUUGAAUCUGAAAUUGACUUGCACCAAAAACUCUCAAGACUAUCUAACUUGUUUGUCCUUGUAAAUUACUUUGAAUUAUACGAUUCUACUUUUAAAAAUUAGAUCCAUCUAAAAAAAUUAAUGUUAUUUGUUUUGCAUAGUUUAUAGAUUUCCUCGUAAUCUUCAAUAUCCACUGUUGAAGAUGAGUGGUGGGCUAAACUGUUUAGAAAUUGUCUCCGUAAACCAUAACCGUAUUUAUUUCUCCAAAUCAAUGUAUUGAGUUAUACUUUUCCACUUGUAGUUAAACACCAUGAGGUUAGACAACGGAUGCUGGAAUGUGAAAUAUCUAUCUUCUCAGAAUGUUCCCCUGAUAUUUUGCUGUAUCUGGCAUUAUAGCUGUUCCUUGUUUAAUAUGGUGGCUGGUUCUUUCAGGUGAAAGUUUUCAUUCAGCCUCAUUACUUGCAAAAUUUCGUUCAAUCAACAUUCAAUGCCCUAACUGCAGAAAAAGUUAGAGGUGCUACACUUGUUGUUUCUGGUGAUGGUCGCUAUUACUCAAAGGAUGCCAUUCAGAUUAUUAUUAAGAUGGCCGCUGCAAAUGGAGUAAGGCGUGUUUGGGUUGGUCAGAAUGGAUUACUUUCAACUCCUGCUGUAUCAGCUGUAAUCCGUGAAAGAGUUGGUAUAGAUGGAUCGAAAGCAACAGGAGCAUUUAUAUUGACAGCAAGUCAUAAUCCAGGUGGUCCACAUGAGGAUUUUGGUAUCAAAUAUAACAUGGAAAAUGGUGGACCUGCUCCUGAGGGGAUCACAGACAAGAUCUAUGAGAACACAAAAACAAUAAAAGAGUACCUAAUUGCUGAUCUGCCUGAUGUGGAUAUUACAGCAAUUGGUGUAACUAAUUUUGGUGGGCCCGAGGGACAAUUUGAUGUUGAGGUCUUUGAUUCAGCAAGCGAUUUUGUGAAAUUGAUGAAAUCCAUCUUUGAUUUUGAGUCUAUAAGGAAGCUACUUUCAUCUCCAAAAUUCACAUUCUGUUAUGAUGCAUUACAUGGAGUUGCUGGGGCAUAUGCAAAACCCAUUUUUGUUGAGGAACUAGGUGCACAAGAGAGCUCAUUGUUGAACUGUGUACCCAAGGAGGACUUCGGAGGGGGCCACCCAGAUCCAAAUCUUACUUAUGCAAAAGAGUUGGUUGCUCGCAUGGGAUUGAGUAAAUCAAGCUCUCAAGUUGAACCACCAGAAUUUGGUGCUGCUGCUGAUGGUGAUGCAGAUCGCAACAUGAUCCUUGGUAGAAGGUUCUUUGUUACUCCAUCGGAUUCUGUUGCAAUCAUUGCUGCCAAUGCAGUUGAAGCCAUACCUUAUUUCUCUGCUGGUCUGAAGGGGGUUGCCAGGAGCAUGCCAACAUCAGCUGCCCUUGAUGUUGUGGCCAAGCAUCUGAAUUUGAAAUUUUUUGAGGUCCCCACUGGCUGGAAGUUUUUUGGCAAUUUGAUGGAUGCAGGAUUGUGUUCAAUUUGUGGGGAAGAAAGUUUUGGAACAGGCUCAGACCAUAUACGUGAGAAAGAUGGCAUAUGGGCGGUUCUGGCUUGGCUAUCUAUACUGGCGUACAAAAAUAAGGAAAAUCUUAAUGGAGGAAAGCUUGUGACUGUUGAAGAUAUAGUUCGCAAUCAUUGGGCUACCUAUGGCCGCCACUAUUAUACUCGAUAUGACUAUGAGAAUGUUGAUGCAAGUGCAGCGAAGGAACUAAUGGCACACUUGGUUAAGCUGCAGCCUUCCCUUGGUGAAGUUAACGAGUAUGUCUUUUUUGCUACUUUGAAACCACUUUCUGCUUCAUAUAAGAUUCUUCAGAGUUCCUUUGAUGGAAUGGCAUAAUGCUAAAAUAUUCAGCUGUUUCUUAGUACGACCCAAUCUCUUUGAACUUGCAUUGAUGUGCUGUUUUGGCUUCUAAAUGCUGAAUACAUCCAGAUACUUUGCCUUGGUUCAUUCAAUAGCUGUAAGAUGGCGACGCUUUUGAAUUGGCUGAAGGUUUUCAGUUUUCUGCAAUUUGGUACCACCACUAAAAUUAUUAUAUAAGUUGGUCAAAAUUCAUGAUCAAUUAGUCCUAUAAAAUCAAUGGUUUCAUAAUCACUCUAGUUGUAAAAUAUUCUAAUGAUUGCAUUUGCAUCAAACAUAGAUUUUCAAGAAAUGGACAUAGAAAUGGAUUUAAAAACGUGUUUUGUAGUAUGAUUAUCAUCAGUUUAUCCGCGAUCUAUUGUUUUUGACUUGUUGAACAUUUAGGUAAUGGUAUCACAUUUGCAAUUGUGACACCAAACUAUUUUUUAUUGAAAUCUAGUUUGUGUGGUAUAAUGUCAUGCACCAACUAGGUGAGCAUAAUAUAUUGUAAAACACUAUCUUUUUGUUUAAACAGGAUUGCGAAGGGGAUAAGAACAGAUGUGUCAAAAGUGGUCCAUGCUGAUGAAUUUGAAUACAAAGACCCUGUUGAUGGUUCGAUCUCAAGGCACCAGGGUAUUCGAUAUUUGUUUGAGGAUGGCUCUCGACUGGUUUUCCGCCUCUCAGGAACGGGCUCAGAAGGUGCAACCAUCCGUCUCUAUAUUGAACAAUAUGAGAAGGAUUCAUCAAAAACAGGAAGAGAUUCUCAAGAAGCACUUGCUCCUCUUGUUGAGGUUGCUCUCAAACUUUCUAAGAUGCAGGAGUUCACAGGGCGAUCUGCACCAACUGUUAUUACAUAGAUUACCAAUGCUACAUUCAAAAAUUGAGGUUGAAUGUCCUCUUGAACAAGAAAAAAGUUAUGGCUAUGAAGAGCUGAAGCUUUUUAUUUUAUUUUUAUUUUGAUUGGUGGUCCUUGACCUUGUAUCCUACAUGUACUUUGUCUUUCUGCAGCAGAUACCAAGGGCAUGAGAGUUAAUGUGCCAUAAAACAUGCCGAUCUAAAUUUUUGAUGUGAAAAAUAAUGCAACAUAUCUGAUUUCUGGGUGUUUAAUGCUAUUCACAUUUUUUUU